rnacentral:rRNA from 1 species
CCUACGGGAGGCAGCAGUGGGGAAUAUUGGACAAUGGGCGCAAGCCUGAUCCAGCAAUGCCGCGUGUGUGAAGAAGGCCUUCGGGUUGUAAAGCACUUUUAUCAGGAGCGAAACUACUGCCGGCUAAUACCCGGCGGAACUGACGGUACCUGAGGAAUAAGCACCGGCUAACUUCGUGCCAGCAGCCGCGGUAAU